GUUGCCUAGCAACGGAUACGUCAUCUAUGCGCCGCCCGUGUGACGCACCCGGAAGUCCCGGACACAGACGCCGGGAACACCUGCUCCUGCACACUUCUUAAAAGGUCGCCUUAACUCCGGAACGAUAGUAGCCAGACGAAUUGGACGAGAAUAACAAUUCCACUACUUUUAUGACACCAAUAAAUACUCUGACUACUGAUCUGGUUUAUCCCUAAAUCAAUGUAAGACAAAUAUUGAACCGAAAUUAUUUAUUAUACUGGAACAUCACGUUCAUUGAAUCCUGUCUGGGAUCUAUCUUCGGCUCUGUUAAAAGUAUGCCAUACGGAUAUUCCCAACUCCUACUGACAGUAUCCCUAAAGUUCAGCUGACUAUUCGUACGUUGGUGCACAAUGAGGAAUAGAAAACCCGGUCGCCUUAACUCCGGAACGAUAGUAGCCAGACGAAUUGGACGAGAAUAACAAUUCCACUACUUUUAUGACACCAAUAAAUACUCUGACUACUGAUCUGGUUUAUCCCUAAAUCAAUGUAAGACAAAUAUUGAACCGAAAUUAUUUAUUAUACUGGAACAUCACGUUCAUUGAAUCCUGUCUGGGAUCUAUCUUCGGCUCUGUUAAAAGUAUGCCAUACGGAUAUUCCCAACUCCUACUGACAGUAUCCCUAAAGUUCAGCUGACUAUUCGUACGUUGGUGCACAAUGAGGAAUAGAAAACCCGGGCAUCAAUUUUGGAAACGAUACGGAAAGAUAUGGAAGUGUUCACAGAGACAUACACAGUUCUGAGAUA